UCUCCUCUCCGGCGAGCCGCCGCCGCUCUCCUCAGCGCCCCCAUCCCGCCGCCACCUCCCCCUCCUGCGCCUCCUCUCCCAAUCCCCUUCUGCACGGGCGACGGGCGGCGCGGCCGACCUCGGCGCGGGAGACCUCCGCAGGAGCCGGCAUGAGAGAGGUUGGUGUUGCAGCUUCUUGACGGGAGGAGCUGCAGGUGGCCGCUGCUUGGCAGCUUCUUGCGUCUCUCCCUCGAGCGCUCUGGUGCUCCCUCAAUCUGCCCUCGCGUCAAUUCAUCUCCAUGGCAUGUUCAUCCUCUCUCUCUCUCUCUCUCUGAACCCCUUGUGACGGGAAAAGGUGGAGGUUGCCGGGGUGGCCGCAGGAAAAAAUAUAAGGAAGAAUCAAUUAUUGUUAUAGAUCUCUUGGGAUUUUUGGUAUAGGUUGAUUCGAUUCCAUUUUAUACAAGUAUAUGAAGGUACAAUCAUUGUCAAACAGCUUAUUUCCAUUGGGGGCCUUUUGCUUACAUGUACGUAUGUAGUUUAUUUCUCUAAGUUGUCCUCUGAGCAUUUUAAUUUGACAAAUUCAUAUAUGAACUAGGAUUAUUUAUCUCUGCCUAGCAGUAGUGCCUUGUUAGUAUUUGUGUCUCAACUGGAAAUUAAUUUUGUUACUUAUCUGCCAUAUGCACAGGUUGGUAGGUAAGGCUUAGAAUUCUUAAAUAUGUUUAUCUAGAAUUAUAUUUACCAUUGUUAAUGCACCAAAUUAGUGACAAUCGUCUACUUCACAUUGUCUUAAUGUUGUUUUGACGUUGUCCUUCCAGUUCUUAUUCAUUGUCCUUCCAUUUCUUAUUCAGCAAAGGAACAAUGGACGAUAUGAAGCAGCAACGGAAGGAAGAGGUGAACCUACAUAUCAGCUCUUGGAAUUGCAUCGGCAUCAACAUCCAUGUGUUCAAGGAGUUGAUAUCUGCAUGGAACCUCGGCCCUGGAGAUCGAUUGGUACGAGGAGCAGGUGUUGGUCGCCAUUGCGACACUUGUGCUGGUCGGGCAAUCUGGCACUGUUGGCAUAUACCCAGUAUAUUGAUGUGUCCUCCAAAUAUUGAUGCUUUCCUGGUUGGGAGUACCAUUCGGAGAUGAAGGUGCCAGUUUAUUCAACCAUAUAACAGAAAUUGAUAGUAGGGCUUGGAUGGCAUCUCCUCUCGGUGUUGAUAGUCAGAGCAUAGGCCGAUAUGCUUUCCAGGACAAAUUAAGCAAGCAUCAGAUUAGUAGUUUUUUCAAAGGUUUAUCGUGUAUGAUCUCGCAUGAUUUUAUCGUAUGCUUAUGUUGUGUACCAACACUAAUUCAAAGGUUGCGUCUUAAUUUGAACGAGUUGAAAGUAAAAUUCAGAGAGGAAGGGGUCAAUUUGUUCAACCUACACAAAGUACAUUUGGUAUUUGGCCUUCUUCUCCGUAUCUCUUAGCUUGUGAAUAGUUAUGUGCUGGAUAUCUAAUUGACGUACAAGUUCAUCAUAGGAUGGAUGAUCUGAACAUUUUUAUCUGAUGGUAACUACCUCAUAUCCAAUCUCAGCAUUAUUAUUUCGAGAUACCUCUAUUUUUUCUCAGUAUCUCUUAGCUUGUGAGUUGUGAAUAGCUAUGUUUGUUGACAUUUCACGCUAUGUCUUGAGGAAUGAUGGAAAGAAUGUCUUGCAUGAGUUGUAUCUCUGAAUUUAUCUAUAAGGAUGCUCUCAAUUAUUUAUACAUGUACAGAUAGCACAAUGGACUUGUGGAAUUGUUUAUUAUUUAGCUUUCAAGCUUUCUCUGGCCCCUAGGCUGCAUAAUUUUGUUUCUUGCUGCACCUAAAAUUUAACAAGUUCAUAACAUAUCAGUUCUCACAUAUGAAUGUACACUGCACCUAAUUGGAAUUUUGUUCAGUUCCCAUAGAUACUUGGGUUAUUUUAUUUUUGGCUUUGUUAUCUGUGCAAGUUUAAUUUGGUGAUAUUUUGAUUUUGGCAUCGCGAUAACUACAGAAAGACCUGUAUAUUUAUGGCAUGGCAAUAAUCUACAGAAAGACAAGUAUAUGUGGCCUCAUGUUACACAGCCCCUUACAGUUUAAGUUCAGACAAACAGUGUCACUUUCACUUUAGAUUCAGUUGACCAUUUACAAAUAUGUUUGUUUCUCCUGUUAUGUCGAAGUCAAAUACAUGUAACCUAAUUUAAUUUCUCUUUUCAUUAUCUUUCUUUCGUGAUGACCUGAUGGGUCGCCAUUUUCUUGGUUUCGUUGGUAACCCAGGAUGUUCUAAUGGACAUGGUUAUAUAUUUAUUCAACUUCGCCGAGAAACAAAGUUCGUAUAUUCUCUUUUUGAUUUAAUUGGAGAAAAUUUACUUAUAAAAAUAUGACAUGGUAUGCUCUGUUAAAAAUAUGGGCAUAUUUGGACUAUCAUAUUGUAGUUCCAAACCAUACAAUUAUCUUGGCCAUUGGUGAAUGUUAAUAUUUUGGAACUGCUACCAAUUGCAUUAUGCCUUGCUGUCGUGUGUACAUUGUGCCAUGGUUCUGCCUCCCUUUGAAAUGCCUGUAUUAUGUGUAGGCUAUCCAAUUUUAGUGUCUAUCACAAGUUUACAUACCCUUCAUUGUGAGGACCUCUGUAUUUUAUUUCAGUUUGCAUUCAUGUAGGUCUCCUUAUCGCUUUUCAGUUUCUAGGUGCCAUAAGGUCUCCCUUUCAAGAUAAAUCCACCCAGGUGACUGAGAGGUAUUCAGUUGUGCUAUUAUUUUCUUUCAAGUUUAGAGACUUUGAUUGUGUUAAAUUUAUCAAUGUUUUAUUUUAGAUUGCACAUUAAGUUUUAAUGUUGUAUUCGCUUUGUAGAACCAUUUAUUUGCAUAUCUUUUAUUUUCUUGGUCAGAAAGCUUGACCCCAAAGAGAGAAAAUAUCUUAGUCAUGUUUCCACGUGCUUUUGUGUUGUAAUAUGCUAGACGUUCGGCUCAAUCUCAGUCUUUUGUGUUGUACUAUGCGAAUGUGAACGUAGCUAUUGUAAUAUACCAACUCUGGGUUGUGAUUAUUUAUCCUAGAAUCUCCUGAUUGAUAUAAUGUGCAGAUUAUCCGUUGGACUUCAAAUGCUCCUUUUUCUAACAUAUACUCUCAAAUCGACCUGCCCAGAAUAUUCUAUAAAAAAUACAUAAAAUUGAACAUAUCUUUGUGACUGAUCCAGUAAAGUUUCAUUCCAUUUCGGUGAGUAGUUUGAGAGAUGCUUGAUUUGAAUGUCACUUUCAAAUUUUAACCAAAAACAUAAAGAUUCCACUGAAAUAUUGAAAAAAUCCCAAUAAUUCAACUGCACCCAUGUAAGAAAUCUUGGAAAGUUUCACUCUAUUUGGGAUAGUGAUUUGAGAUAAUGCUUGAUUUGAAUGUUCACUUCCAAAAUUUGACCAGAUAUCUAAAGUUUCUAGGAAAUUUUUUUCCUGCAAUUCAAAUAAAUGCAUAUAAGAGAUCUGGGAAAGAUUCACUGUAUUUGGGCCAGUGGCAUGAGAGAAUGAUGCUUCUGAAAAUGACUUAUAUCCACAGUACAUUACAAACUGUCACACACAGCAAGAAGCUGCAAAGAGUAGCAGACUCAAGCAACAUGCAGAGGCGAGCGGCACCGACACGCAGAGGGGCCAAUAGCUAGCUGCACGUCUGCAGAGAGAUGCGGCAGUGUCGUCCCCUGGAAAUCCUAAUUAAGUUCACACCAUAUAUAUUAACACAUUGGCAAUAAUUUGUAGAACCAAUAAUUCUAUGCAUCCCUAUUUAUCUCUAAAAAGCAUUGUUCUUCUGUAUAUAGAGUCUAUGUCACACUGAUGCUUCUUUUUUCCUGAGCACGUGCCAUGUAAAUUGGUGUGAAUUUCAUGGGAUCGUGUGCCAAGGCACACUACUAAUCUUGAAUGAUGAUUUGUUGUGUUCACCUGCAGCAUCUUUUAACCUCACCUGAUAAAAAUUGGAGGCUGCAAGUUAUAUAAAGUGUGCCAUAGUUAUUUGAGAAUAUUUGGUACUCAAAAGGAAUUUGGUGUGGUUCUAUUACCACUUUCUAGAUUGAGGUUUUGUUUUAUUUUUGUUGCAAUUAGGAACUUUUGAGUGUUUUCACCGUAACAUGAGAUUUAUGCCACUUUGAAUCACUGUACCAUGCUCACGGUAGGUGAAAUUGCGUGAUUUUCCUUGCCGAUGGUUUAUUCUGUGUAAUCUAGCUUUUGCUUUUGGUUUAUGGAAAUGAUGAAGUAAGAAAGAUGGAAGAACGGUAGUACAUAGACCAAAUUAUAAUUAAGGCAUACUUUUUUUGUGUGUGCUAGGCCUUGAAGAAAACAUCCUACGGGUUAUUAUGGUGUACCAGUUAACAUUGUUUAAGUUUUCCUUGAACAAAAACACUACCCACCACCAUCACAAACCUGGGUCUAAAAUGAAAAUUAGUAAUACUAAAGCUAGAUUUUAAAAAGACAAGUUUGUAUAUUUUCUGGAAUACUCUGCAGUUUUAGGAAUAGAUCCUGAGACAAGCAAAUGAGUGUUCUGUUUUUUUUGUUGUAGUAGCAUAAUCAUCUUUUAACAGGAUUCAGCAAGCAUGUCCAUGCUAAACUGGAAGGCAGGAGUACUAUCUCAUCAGGCUCCUUGGAUCCUCCCAAGAAUAUAGAGUACACGCAUCCAAUCUUAGGACAGCAUGACAAAAAUUGGGUUACCUUCCCUGCUAUUUGCUUAUUUGCAUUCCCGCUAAGGCCUAUAUUUUGCUCUAUGCAUUAGUUGGUUACCUUCCCUGCUAUUUGCUUAUUUGCUUUGCAUAUUUAUACAACAGAAGCCAGUAACUUGUGCACCUACUCUUUAUAGUCUUAUAUACAUGAAACGUUAUUUAUGGAUGUUAUGCUUUAGACUGUGGUUUGCAGUAGCUGUCAUAUUAUGAUGUUUUCUCUACAUUUACAUGCCAACUGACUUUUGUUUGCCUGCCUUGUGGUUCUACCAUAAAAUUUACUUUACUAUUGCCGAUUCGUGUAGCUAUGGUAUAUUCUUUGUUCGUUAGUAAGCUUGCAUGGAGUUAAUACAUAUUUACGGGGUAUAUUCCCUGUGAAUUAUGAGGUAUAAGCAAUCUAAUCAGUGGCUUACAAUUGGAAAUUUGAGUGUUGUAGACUAUCUCCAUAGAUAAAGACUUUUAUUUAUCCGGUUAAUUGUACCAGAUAAUUGUGCAUGGUUCCUGCUUUGGACAAACACUACUUCUAUAAAAAAAUGUAACAUUGUAGUGGCUUAUUGGUGAAUGGUGAUUGAUAGUGUAUACCUUUUCAUGCUUACAGAUAAUCAGCUUUUUUACGUCUGCUUAUUUGGAGAACGUAUUAGAAACAAAGCAUGCAAACAAAUUUGGAGAACAAAAAGAUUCAGUAUGUAAAAAGUGCGGAUUUGUGUAUUAUAUUUUCCUGCAUUAUUUACAUCUGCUUGUUUGUUCACUACUUACCAUCGAUGUGUAUAAACCAAUAGCGUAGUGUUUUAUAAAAUGUAUAUUCAGCGUGAAAGCUAAAGCACCAUUCUUUUACAAAUUUAUCAUUACAAAAGCCGGGGCAUGCGCAGUGUUUUACAUAAUGUUCAUCAGACUACUAUAAUUUUUGUUGGUUGCAGUAAUUAUAUUUACGAAUGUUUUCUUAAUAGUUAUCUAAGCUCCCAUUCUUUUCAUACAGACUGCUGUGGUUUUAUACAGAACUCUGUUCCAGGAGUUGCCUAUUGUGAACCUGAGUGGGAUCUCUUUGUGUAUUUAGCUGUUGUUAUCUCAGAACCAUCUAAAAGUAGAUCUUUCCGUAUAUUUCCCUAUUUACUCUACUGUAUGUAUGUAUCGCAUUUCUCUGCUAUACAGUUUGCUGCUCCGCUCAUGAUAUCAAAUUUGAAACUGAAAUAUUUGCUAUUGAAUUUGUCCCUAUAAUUAUUAC